rnacentral:tRNA from 1 species
GGGGGUAUAGCUCAAGUGGUAGAGCACAUGCUUAGCAUGCAUGAGGUCCUGGGUUCAAUCCCCAGGAGCUCCA